GCAGCUAAUAGCUGAAAUAAACCUUUAUGGAGCAAUCUCCAGGAUCAGGCUGCCUGAGAUGGACCAUUGGCUCCGUUCCACUAUUUGCAUAUUAAACCCACUAGAGCAAAAAAUAUUUUCAAGAGCUCUAUCACUUAAAAGCCAUAGAUUUCUAAAUUCCGGUAAAGAAACGGGUGACAAGGGUCAGCAAAGGGAGACUUGGAUGUGAAACCAUGCCAGCAGUGGAGCAGACAGCCCCUCCCUGCUCUGCAAAGCUGGGAAUGUGCCAGACUUCCUUCUUAAACGCAUCAACUCCAAGAGGAGAGACCUGUCAGCUGCUACUUGAAGCCUGAAAUCCAUGAACUCAGACUGUCCCCAAACAUGUCCACAGCACAACCACUUUCUGUGAGAACUGGAAGUUAAGAGAGCUCCCUGGGCUGUCGUUAUCAACCUGAGGAUAACAAACACAUGGAUCAUCAAGAGGGAGUUGGUGCUGGAAAGAAGUGGCAGAGCCUAAUAGCCCAUAAUAAAUAAAUGAAGUUUUGAUCCUAACUUGGAUCUUAGAACUGAGGUAUAAAUGCUUUUAAUGUCUUAAGGGGAAAACUGCCCACAC